CAGGACUAUGGCCAUCGUGUUAGAUUAGCAACUCACUCAAAUUUCAAAGAGUUUGUCUUGACAGCUGGAUUGGAGUUUUACCCUUUAGGCGGUGACCCAAAAGUUCUUGCUGGUUGUAUGUACCAGCCAACUAGUGAAUUCCCACAUCCUUUGUCCCGUGUCAAGCAACAAGCUGGAUAUAGACUGUCCUAUCAAAUUGUGGACUCUUUGAUUUGGCUGGGAAUACGGGACAUGAUUAAU